rnacentral:rRNA from 1 species
UACGUAGGGGGCAAGCGUUGUCCGGAUUUAUUGGGCGUAAAGAGCGUGUAGGCGGCCAUACAGGUCCGUUGUGAAAACUGGAGGCUCAACCUCCAGACGUCGACGGAAACCGUAUGGCUAGAGUCCGGAAGAGGAGAGUGGAAUUCCUGGUGUAGCGGUGAAAUGCGCAGAUAUCAGGAAGAACACCCGUGGCGAAGGCGGCUCUCUGGGACGGUACUGACGCUGAGAC